rnacentral:lncRNA from 1 species
CGAGCCCUAUGUGUUAUGAGAUAUGAGAUAGCAUUGGCUACAUAUGUGGCACUUAUGUGCAAGACUUUCCGUGUAUCCGAUAGUAUUCCAAGUGUUCAACGGGUAAUCCGAAGAGUAUGUCAAAGAUGACAAAGUAUGUGACUAUGUUACCAGUUGGUACAUGUAUGUAUGUAAAACUCAUGAGUAUAAAUCUUGGUAUGUGAUGAACAAUUGAUAAGAAUGCUAA